GAAACAGAGUUUUUGAUGGCAUUCAGUUUUUGAUGGCAUUUUGAUGGCAUAUGAAAUCAAUUCAUAUUUCAAUAUAUUGUAGAGUCCGAAGACCUGUCUGUCCUUGAGUGAGACCCAGCAUCCUCAUCAUGCUCACCUAAGCUAGCUCAAGAAUUAGGUGAGAACUUUGGCAAAGAAUCCAAUGCAACACAUGCUAACUUCAGGGCUGGCUGGCACCUCGGCUGCCUGCCCCAUGAUGAGGACAGAAGCUUUCCUGUGGUUUAUAUGCAGCUGUUUGGACAUGACAUAACUGAAAUCUUGUGUUCGUGGCAGACGCAGUCACCUGAUACUCCAGCAGAAGGGCGGGGAAGAAAAAGAACAUAUGUCAGAAAAGUUCAUAACUGGGAGACCCAUUCAUCCCCAUCUUGAUCACUGCAAAGAUGACGGAACCCAAGAAAAAACAGUCUUGUGUGUCACUCACAUGAAUCUUCAGGAGGUACACAGAGGACACUGCGUGGAGAUUUUCUGGAUGGAUUGGGAGGAAUUGGGUACCACGCAAGAAUACUGAGAAAGGACCAGAGGUUAUGUUUUACCACACACUACACUGGCACUGAACUCUGGAUGAACAAGGUUUCCUGUGGGUUCAACAUCACUUUGGAAGUAGUAGUCAUGCCUUGUGAAUAGGACUUCAUUCUGAAGAGGUUUGGGACUAUUUAGAAGCUAAUGCCUUUGAAGGCUGAGCACGAGACAAGUUGAGUCUUGGGCAUGAAGACCCGUGGCUCCUGCCCAUCCAAGAGAAGAGUUGCCUGAGCCAGACGUGGGAAGCGGAGGAGUGGAGAGUAGGCCACUGCUGGUCAGAGCCAGUCCCCUCACCCAUGACUGCACACAGUUUAUCUCCUUCCCACUCCUGAGGGCAACGGUGUGCAGAAGCAGGUAUCUGCUGGGACCUGGGAGCUAUCACUUUGCUGGAAUUGGCUGGCUGUCCUUGGAGUGAAUGUUGUUUUGGAUUCCUUGAUUUCUUUGGAAGGACAUCUUCUUAAAUGGUGGGAUUUUUUAUGCCAGGAUUCAAGAUCCUUUCUAGAUCAAAACAGGCAUAAACUAAAAACAACAACAACAACAACAACAACAACAACAAAAACAACUCACUUCCCAAAAUGGCCCUCCUGUGGUCCAAGCCAGUGGCUCUCCCAUUCCCUGGCUUUUCAGUGUCUCCUCUGAGGCCCAGCGAGGGCCCACCUCCAGCAAGAGCUCUUCCCCACUGUGACUCUUCUCCAGAUCUCUGCAGCUCUUCUGAUCCAAAUCCUGACUCUAUUGAAUAUGAAAUGCAGCAGAAAAGGAAAUCAUGAUUUCAGCUUUUGACCUUCAAGAUCAUGAUCAGGAAAUUGGGCUGUGGAGUAAAGUUGGAAGUAGUAGAACCAGAACUGGAGUCCAGGAGGACUCGUUCCAGGCUGAAUGAACUUUGAUCAAUGUUAUGUCUUUCUUCUACAAUCUUUCCUAACCCUGCUGGCUUCCUUGAAUGUCUGCCUGUAAGUCUUUGUGCAGCAACAUAAAUGAGAAGGUGUCAUUUGUUGAUGGACAUCUAGGUUCUUUCCAUGGUUUGGCUGUUGUGGACAUUGCUGCUAUAAACAUUCGGGUGCAUGUGCCCCUUCGGAUCUCAAGUGACCUUUUUAGAACAGAAGUCCACCUCACUGGUCCCUGCUCUGUUGGUGUUCAGUCGUCUGUGGGAGCGUGGUAACCCGAUGGAUGACAGUGAUGUGGGCUGCUGCUCAGAUACGCUGGGCUAACAGCUAAACUUCUGUGACUACUAAAAAGCCCAUCAGAAGUGUAGAAGGCGCAUGGACUGAACAGAGGACAUGGAUGCGGAGGACAUGGAGGCAAGAGAUGCGGGUGAUGUGGAUCUGCUUGAAGGCCUGGGAGGCAGAAGAGGACAGAUGCAGUAUGAAUUUUGAGGCUCUUAGGUGGUGAAUAUUCCAUGAGGCCCACUUCAGGCUCAAUGUUUCCCAAUCUGCUCUCUUACAACCAUGCAUAACCCUGUGAUGUGAAAUAUCACCACUUUAUGAUACAGGAUAAUGCUACAAGAGAUCUUUCACUGAUGUAUCUUUGAGCUUGAGGAGCUAGCACAUUAAAUCAUGGAGUCCGGAAGGCAGUGGAAUACCAUAUUCAAGGUGCUG